rnacentral:rRNA from 1 species
UUAUGGCUCAGGACGAACGCUGGCGGCGUGCCUAACACAUGCAAGUCGAGCGAGGAGAUCCUUCGGGAUGAUCCUAGCGGCGGACGGGUGAGUAACACGUGGGCAACCUGCCUCAUAGAGAGGAAUAGCCUUCCGAAAGGGAGAUUAAUACCUCAUAACAUUGCAGUUUCGCAUGGAACAGCAAUUAAAGGAGCAAUCCGCUAUGAGAUGGGCCCGCGGCGCAUUAGCUAGUUGGUGAGGUAACGGCUCACCAAGGCGACGAUGCGUAGCCGACCUGAGAGGGUGAUCGGCCACAUUGGGACUGAGACACGGCCCAGACUCCUACGGGAGGCAGCAGUGGGGAAUAUUGCACAAUGGGGGAAACCCUGAUGCAAGCAACGCCGCGUGAGUGAUGACGGCCUUCGGGUCGUAAAGCUCUGUCUUCAGGGACGAUAAUGACGGUACCUGAGGAGGAAGCCACGGCUAACUACGUGCCAGCCGCUGC